CUCGAAACACUCACUCCCUCAGCUCACACCAACAUUCCGAACUGAUACGAGAGAGAAUCGCUUUAGUGCGCUUGCUUGAAUCAGUCUGGUUCCCAAUCGCUCGAAAAUCCUAGUGUGAGUGACUGUGUGUAAAUGUGUGUGUUAGCAGGCAACAGGCGGGUGGAGAGAUCGGGUAGCCAGCUUGGAUAGCGGAGAGCGCACACUUCCAGCGCAGCCGAGACUAUAACAGAAAUAACGAAUUAACUACCAAAGGAUUGUCAUUUCAUAACAUCCUAUCAACCGUUAAUGACACAUCGUUAAAGGAGGCAAAACGAAAAACACUACAGAGAUUGAUUUAUUAUCCAUAGUUUUCCGUUCCAGCGCGGGGAAAGAUGAAGACUAAAAACCUGGAGCAAAGCUUGUCUGAUUCCAGAGAAUUGGAUGGAUCGUAUGACCAGCUGACUGGUGGACUGAAGAGGAAAUUAGUGGCUCUGGCUAAACACAAAGACCUCAUGCCUUGGGUGAAGACUAUAUGCAUUCAUCUGUGGUGGAGUUGUAGCUCAUGUGGAGGAGAUGGAGGAGUUCAAGUCAAUGCUCCAUCAGAUCUGUUGGGUCCAUCGCUGGUAAGAGGACGGAGUGGAACGCCACUGUUACCAUGGAUAGCUAACAGAGGACCAGCAGAGGAAGAAGAGGUAGCUACAGGAAGAUUCACCAACCUACAAAGCACUGUACUCUCUGGUCAUGGACAAACACCUGCAGAAGGAUCUUGAUCAGAUGGCACUGUUCAAGCACACAGGCACUCCAAGAUGCAUUGUUUACCCUAAACAAUCAAAACAGUGGAUUGCCUGGCCAAUAUAUCGCCCAUCACUCAAACAUUCAGGAAUGACCUGAUGGAGCGUGUCUUACAGAGACGCAUGGACAAAUAUUUUAAAUACUAGGAGCCAAAAUCCUGUGGAGGAGGCUGUGGUCUGGUUGACAACAUGGCCCCCAUGUAACAUAAUUUGUUAGCCUCUGGUCCUUAUCACUCUGCAUCUGUAGCAUUUGAUAAAAAUCCAUUCAAUGUAGGCUGCUACUGUACAUAAAAGUAUACCUACUUUAUACUGUCUAUUUUAUUGUAUAUUUGACCUUUUAUUGAUGCGAAUUUUGAGAAUGCCUUGUCUACACUGUGUAUUGUUCAUUAUACAGACCCCAAGUCUGUGUUGUAAAAAAUCUAACGCGGUCUUUGCCAGUUCAUUGAUUGCUGUCAUUACAUAUCUACAUUACAACGUCUAUGAUGUUUGGGGUUUUACCAAUAUAACUUCAGUAUUCAAAUGUCACUGAUACAUUGAUCUGACUGCUUUAUUACAUACACAAUACUAUCAUGUGGCAUACUGUAAUAAAUCACUAAUAGUAGAUAGUAACAAAACAGGUGUUACUGGUUCAAAUAAUGGCACUUAUUACUGUGAUUGUAACAAAAUAGAAUGUACUGGUUUAUUGGAGUGAUUUAACAAAAUUGGUUGUUUAGGCAAUGUCUGGCUGAGAAGCUGAGUCAUCGUAUUGUAAUUACGAUAGGCCAAUCAGAUCUGCCUCUGAAUCCCACGUAGACUCCUGUCGGCAAGGGAUAUUUGCGUCGAAUAGCACAAACAACACAUGGAGGCAAGACCCUCCGUGCUUGAUUGAUGCAAUUUUUUAAAAGAUAUGCAGAGUGCCAGGUCUCUCUCCAUUCAGAGACUUCAGUAUCAAGCUGUCUGUCAGUCUGGACUUCAUCACAUCAUCUUGCAAGUCUCCAUGUACUGGCUCCAUACAUGUUUCUGUGAACCCAUACACAGAUAGUCAAUGAUCUAUUAUCAAUGGUAGUUAGGAUAGGUAAUAUCUGAUACACAAACAGGUACUAUGAUGAAGUUUGAACAGGUCAUUUAAAACCUACGCAAUUAUGGUCUCCCCAUAAAACGACUGAGGCUGCCAUCUGGCAAAAGCAUCUUCAUUCCAUCUGUAGAAGCUAAGUCUGCCUCAACUGCCUAUCAGUGACACAUGUAAUGAAAAGGGCGUUUCUAUUACUGGACAUUUGUAUUAUUAGUAAUCACCUCAUUGUGAAUGUGUUGAGUGCCAGGUCUCUCUGCAUCUCAUGCAUCUGUUAACACACACACAGUCACUGUUCUAUUACCAAUGGCAGUAGGUGAUAUCUGACACAUAUAAACUCAGCAAAAAAAGAAACGUCCUCUCACUGUCAACUGCGUUUAUUUUCAGCAAACUUA